UGAAUGGGUGGAAAGCAGUAGGUACAUCAAACAGAAGAUGAUGUUAAGCAGGAAGCUAUCUUUGUGGGUCUGUCAAACGCUCAAAGAGGCUUCAAUGUGCAAGGGAAGGAACAUCAAAACGUGGAAGAGUGGGGACCACUUCACAGACAUUUACGGCUCUCUUAAGCAUAAUAAAUUUGGCAGAUAUAUAUGCUUAAUCUCAGUGCAAGGCCACAGA
rnacentral:lncRNA from 1 species